CAACUCACGGAGACCCUGUGGGGGCUGGGGCCCAACAUCUCUCCCAACAGGCUCGUGGUUUGGAGACUUCUGUCUAUGGUCAGCUGGCUCUGUGGAUUCUAGGCUAGAUGAGAGAGUGGUGACCUUCUGAAACAUUAGCAGCAGGGGAGCACCAAUGACAUCGAAGGAAGAUUUAUCUGGUGGUGCUGUUGGAGACAGGCUGCAGCUAGGACACAUAAGAUCUGAUUUGAAAAAGUUGAUAGGAUGAAGGCCAAGAGUGAAGAAGCACUUGGGGGAUGUGAGAAGGAUGGUAUAGAAUCCCUGACAUUUGACAUUCAACUUUAGAAGCUCAUGUUAGUUCUUCACAUCUUGCUUCUCUGUUCCUCACCGUCAUGUUUGUUGGCAACUUCCUGAGCAGGGUUUCUCUGUGGCUUUGGAGGCUGUCCUGGAACUAGCUCUUGUAGACCAGGCUGGUCUUGAACUCACAGAGAUCUGCCUGUCUCUGCCUCCCAAGUGCUGGAUUAAAGGCAUGUACCACCAAUCCCCGGCUUGGAGCAUGAGUGACUUAAAGACACCUAUGUGAACAAAAGUCCAAAGCUAGAAACCUGGAGCUCUCUGAAAGACUUGGAGGCAGCUCAUCAGUAGGUCAGGUCAGUUGUUUCUGUGGGUUUCUCCAGCACCGUCUUGGCUCCUUUGCUCAUCCCUCCUUCCUCUCCACAACUGGAUUCCAGGAGUAUGGUUCAGUGCUUAGCUGUGGGUACCUGUUUCUGCUUUGAACAGCUACUGGAUGAAGACUCUAGGAAUGGUAACCAAG
rnacentral:lncRNA from 1 species